GACGAACGCUGGCGGCGUGCCUAAUACAUGCAAGUUGAGCGAUGAAGCUUUGUUCUUGCGCCGUUUUGAAGAGCAGCGCACGGGUGAGUAACGCGUGGAGCAUCUGCCUUUGAUCGGGGUACAACCUUUGGAAACGAAUGCUAAUACCGCAUAAUCACUUUAUACAUAAUUUUUAAGUUUGAAAGAUGCAAUUUCAUCACUCACUGAUGAUCCCGCGUUGUGUUAGCUAGUUGGUGAGGUAAAGGCUCACCAAGGCGAUGAUACAUAGCCGACCUGAGAGGGUGAGCAGCCAGAUUGGGACGGAGACACGGCCCAAACGCAUACGGGAGGCAGCAGGAGGGAAUCUUCGGCAAUGGACGAAAGUCUGACCGAGCAACGCCGCGGGAGUGAAGAAGGAUGUCGGAUCGUAAAACUCGGUUGGUAGAGAAGAACGUGGGUGAGAGUGGAAAGCUCAGCAAGUGACGGUAACUACCCAGAAAGGGACGGCUAACUACGUG
rnacentral:rRNA from 1 species